UACAGAGGUCCCGAGCGUUGUUCGGAUUCACUGGGCGUAAAGGGUGCGUAGGUGGCUUUGCAAGUCUGAUGUGAAAUCUCCGGGCUUAACCCGGAAAUGGCAUUAGAAACUGUGACGCUUGAGGCUUGGAGGGGGAACUGGAAUUCUCGGUGUAGCAGUGAAAUGCGCAGAUAUCAGGAGGAACACCGGUGGCGAAGGCGGUUCUCUGGGCAUUACCUGACGCUGAGGAGCGAAAGUGUGGGGAGCGAACAGG
rnacentral:rRNA from 1 species